AGAUCACUCCUCUCAGAGCCCUUCUGUGAGCCCAGGACACAGUGAUGAUCCCAACAAUGUGGAGCAUUCUAAGGAGGGCCAUGCAGAUUCACAGUCUGGACUGGCAUUCGUGGCUGGUGCUGUGAUCCUAACACAGAAGGUGAUCUCCUGCAAUCAGAACCACUGCUGAAUGCACAGCUGUCCUCCAGGUAUCCUACCGUCACCUUCAAGUUUGCACCGACUGAUGAUUCUCUUCUUGGAAUUAGCCUACUUAUAUCCAUUCUGCUUUGGUCAGCUUUAUUUCUAGACAAAGACUUUGUUGCUCUGUUUGUUUGCUUGUAUUUGAAUUACCAAAUUUUUGCUCUGAUAAUCAUCAGCUGUCAGAAAUGAAAAUGUAUGGGAAAAUAUAUGGGAACUAGUUUCCAGUCUGUCAUCUUUCUGAAAAGCUACAAAUCUGUUGCAAAAAUUAUUAAGUUGAAUAUGAUUUGCUCUGGAUGUAGAGACACGUCUCAAAAUAAAGAACAUUCUCACUCCACCUACUUUGAUUCCAUAAUUAGCGCAUGGACAGCAUCACUGAACAGCUGUGGUAGUCAUCUGUGUAGGGCUGGCAGAAAUGGCCUAGGACCUAUGGAAAAUCUAUAUCCUUUCAAAUUGGUGGCCAGAGGCAUGGGAAAUACCCAAGAGCAUGUUCUGUGAUGUUGCAUCUAUGUUUAUUUGCACUUC
ensembl:lncRNA